UACGGGGGGGCAAGCGUUGUUCGGAAUUACUGGGCGUAAAGGGCUCGUAGGUGGCCAACUAAGUCGGACGUGAAAUCCCUCGGCUUAACCUGGGAACUGCGCUUGUAACUGGCAAGCUAGAGUGUGGCAGAGGGGGGGUGGAAUUCCAGGUGUAGCAGUGAAAUGCGUAGAGAUCUGGAGGAACACCGAUGGCGAAGGCAGCCCCCUGGGCUAACACUGACGCUCAUGCACGAAAGCGUGGGGAGCAAACAGG
rnacentral:rRNA from 1 species